UCUCUUUCUCGCUAGACUGGGAGCUUGCCAGCAGGAAGAACCUUGUCUCCCCCCCAGAUGAGGAAAUCCACAGUACCAGCAAGGGACCUGGAUGGGAUCAGAACUCAUGUCUUCCCUCUCCCACCCCCGAUGCCUGGCAUGUUUUGCUUCUCUGAUGAGAUUCCCGACUUCCAGGCCACCCCCUCUACCAGGCUCAGAGCUCCCUGAGGGCCAUCUCCUUGUCUUAUCUCCUUAGAGAUAGGGGAAGGCUCUGUCUAGAGGCUCCACUGCAUGCGCUCACCUAGAGGUGACAGAAGUGAGGAGCUCUGAGGGGCCUCUCCCAGAGGACGCUUUCCCUGGGCCAGCCUCUGCUAAGCAGGGCCGGCGGAGUAGCACUGCCAGGCCAGGCACUUCCUCCACCUCCCGUGACACCUCCCCGCGCCCAGUACCUCUGUCGUAGUAUACGCUCAUGUCCACGUCCCAGUCAUCGGCCGUCUGCUCAUCAAAGUCUGCAGGGACAGAGAAGCGUCUGGCAGAGUGAGUGAAGGACCCUCUGUUCUGUGGAGAACUAAACCUGCAGUUAAGGCCAUUAGCAGGGAGUUAGAUUGGAAGUAGAGUGGCCAUGAAACAAACACGGAAAACAUGGGAUGCCAGUGCCACAGGCAGAGGCUUAGUGUGCUACACCAUCGCCCCAGCCCUGUGAUGACUUUCAACGAUGACUGAUCUCACAUAUACGGUAAAGAACUGGGCGUCAGUGUAGAACACCAAGCCAGAGCCGCCCUUUUCCCACUUCAGCUCAAUCUCCUCCUCGAAGAGCCGCUCACUGCUCCGCUCCUGCCUCGUCACAUCCUCGUGCAACGCUUCGUGCCGCUCCCAUUCCUCACCCCGGUCAUCGUCCUGUGGGUGGAGGGACAGGUGU